UGGGGUUCGACCAACGGUCCCCGUGCCGAAGCUAACGCAUUAAGUAUCCCGCCUGGGGAGUACGGCCGCAAGGCUAAAACUCAAAGGAAUUGACGGGUCCCCGCACAAGCGGCGGAGCAUGCGGCUUAAUUCGAUGCAACCCGAAGAACCUUACCUGGGUUUGACAUCACGGGAAAAGCUGUAGAAAUACAGUGUCCUUUUGGGUCCGUGACAGGUGGUGCAUGGCUGUCGUCAGCUCGUGUCGUGAGAUGUUGGGUUAAGUCCCGCAACGAGCGCAACCCUUAUCCUAUGUUGCCAGCACGUUAUGGUGGGGACUCAUAGGAGACUGCCGGGGAUAACUCGGAGGAAGGUGAGGACGACGUCAAGUCAUCAUGCCCCUUAUACCCGGGGCUGCACGCAUGCUACAAUGGUCGGUACAACGGGCAGCGAUCCUGCGAAGGUGAGCAAAUCCCUCAAAGCCGGCCUCAGUUCGGAUUGGAGUCUGCAACUCGACUCCAUGAAGGCGGAGUCGCUAGUAAUCGUGGAUCAGCAAAGCCGCGGUGAAUGCGUUCUCGGGGAUUGUACACACCGCCCGUCACGCCACGGAAGUCGGCAACACCCAAAGUCAGUGGCCUAACCCUUUUUGGGAGGGAGCUGCCUAAGGUGGGGUCGGUAACUGGGACGAAGUCGUAACAAGGUAGCCG
rnacentral:rRNA from 1 species